GAUGAACGCUGGCGGCGUGCCUAAUACAUGCAAGUCGAACGCAUUGUGGUUGAAAUGAUAUGAAGAACUUGUUCAGAUUUGAUUUUCAACAUUGCAAUGAGUGGCGAACGGGUGAGUAACACGUGGGAAACCUACCUCUUAGCAGGGGAUAACAUUUGGAAACAAAUGCUAAUACCGUAUAAUAAUUAAAACCGCAUGGUUUUAGUUUAAAAGAUGGUCUUGCUAUCACUAAGAGAUGGUCCCGCGGUGUAUUAGUUAGUUGGUGAGGUAAUGGCUCACCAAGACAAUGAUACAUAGCCGAGUUGAGAGACUGACCGGCCACAAUGGGACUGAGACACGGCCCAUACUCCUACGGGAGGCAGCAGUAGGGAAUCUUCCACAACUGGACGAAAGUACUGAUGGAGCAACGCCGCGUGUGUGAUGAA
rnacentral:rRNA from 1 species